rnacentral:pre_miRNA from 1 species
CUUGUACUCCCUCCGUCUAAAAAUACUUGUCAUUGAAAUGGAUGUAUCUAGAUGUAUUUUAGUUCUAGACACAUCCAUUUUGAUGACAAGUAAUUCCGGACGGAGGGAGUACUUG